AAAUGUAGAGAUGCUGCGUUGGUUAAGGAAUAAGUGACUUUGAGUGUCUAAAUGGGAUUUAUACCACCUCUGUGCAGCUCAAGGAAUGUCACCAAAGAGGGAGAAGGAAGUAUAGACCCCACUGAAGACACAGAGAAGCACUGAGAAACACUGUCUUCAGGCCACCGCUCAGCUAUCUAUCACAAACACAGUAACACCAUAGCUGUGCUGCCUGCAUCGAGCACAAGACGGGGCCUGUCAACAGCCCACAGAUAAGACAUAGGAAAGUCAUACCCUGGACAUGCUGGAGAGAAACUGAACAAAGAGAAACGGAGAACCACCCAAAACAGCUGGCCAGACAAGAAGGAUCGUCUAGGGCCUGCCAUCAGCUCAUCCCCAGAUUUUCUGAGAGCCUCCAUGAAGAAGGCAGGACAAGGAAAGGCAAAUA
rnacentral:lncRNA from 1 species